GACGAACGCUGGCGGCGUGCUUAACACAUGCAAGUCGAACGGUGACGAGGAGCUUGCUCCUCCGAUCAGUGGCGAACGGGUGAGUAACACGUGAGUAACCUGCCCCAGACUCUGGGAUAACAGUUGGAAACAGCUGCUAGUACCGGAUACGAGACGGAGAGGCAUCUCUACCGUCUGGAAAGUUUUUCGGUCUGGGAUGGACUCGCGGCCUAUCAGCUUGUUGGUGAGGUAAUGGCUCACCAAGGCGACGACGGGUAGCCGGCCUGAGAGGGCGACCGGCCACACUGGGACUGAGACACGGCCCAGACUCCUACGGGAGGCAGCAGUGGGGAAUAUUGCACAAUGGGCGAAAGCCUGAUGCAGCGACGCCGCGUGAGGGAUGACGGCCUUC
rnacentral:rRNA from 1 species